UAGGGAAUCUUCGGCAAUGGACGAAAGUCUGACCGAGCAACGCCGCGUGAGUGAAGAAGGUUUUCGGAUCGUAAAACUCUGUUGUUAGAGAAGAACAAGGACGUUAGUAACUGAACGUCCCCUGACGGUAUCUAACCAGAAAGCCACGGCUAACUACGUGCCAGCAGCCGCGGUAAUACGUAGGUGGCAAGCGUUGUCCGGAUUUAUUGGGCGUAAAGCGAGCGCAGGCGGUUUCUUAAGUCUGAUGUGAAAGCCCCCGGCUCAACCGGGGAGGGUCAUUGGAAACUGGGAGACUUGAGUGCAGAAGAGGAGAGUGGAAUUCCAUGUGUAGCGGUGAAAUGCGUAGAUAUAUGGAGGAACACCAGUGGCGAAGGCGGCUCGCUGGUCUGUAACUGACACUGAGGCUCGAAAGCGUGGGGAGCAAACAGG
rnacentral:rRNA from 1 species